GUCAAUGUUUGGGGAAAAAUAGACUAAACAUUCCCCGUAAUCUUUUCUGAUGAUAGGAUUUUUGGAUUCCCUAACAUUUCUUCACACUUUCUAGUAGUGAAUGAAAUCAGGGUUGGGGUGUUGUUGUUCACAUUCUCAGUAUGCCAAAGCUUGGGAAUGAAACAAUGUGGUAGAAUUUGGAGAAGCUGGUGGCCCCAUAUAUAAACCAUAGUGAUGUCUCCCCACAGCCCCUACAGCUGUCACCACACAUCACAUCAUACCUCAAGAGUCAGGAGGAAAUGAUGAAGAAAUUCCAGGAGCAGCUGAAUGAGAAAAUACAACUACUGAACACUGAACUAAAAAAACAGAGGAGCUCCCUGGAAACUUUGAAGGAGCAGCUCCAAGAGAGGAAUAAUUCCAAGCCACAGGCACUGCCAUCCAUCGUAGGCCGUGUUCUUAGUCCUGAUUUGCUGGAGCUAGCACCAGAGAAACCACGCUCUGAGGCAAUGAAGAGUCCCUUCUCCGAUAUUUCAGAGGCCACAUCUGUCAGUGGUUCAUGUUUACCAGGUUCUUCUCAGAUCCAUGAGGAGCUUCAGCAGACUUUUGACACAUCUUCUCAGGUUCCCAUUCAGGAAGAGGUGAACCAAGAGCAACAGCAGCAGCUGCAACAACAGCAGCAGCAGCAGGAACAGCAACAGCAGGAGCAGCAGCAACAGCAGCAGCAGCUGCAACAACAGCAGCAGCAGCUUCUGCCACUGUCUGAGCAGCCACAACAGUGUAAUACCACCAGAGAAAACCAAGAAAUGCAAGUAUUCGUGCCA
rnacentral:lncRNA from 1 species